GACGAACCGUACGAACGUUAUUCGGAAUUACUGGGCUUAAAGGGUGCGUAGGCUGUGCAGAAAGUUGGGUGUGAAAUCCCUUAGCUUAACUGAGGAACUGCGCCCAAAACUGCUGCGCUAGAGGAAGACAGGGGUAAGCGGAACUUACGGUGGAGCGGUGAAAUGUGUUGAUAUCGUAAGGAACACCGGUGGCGAAGGCGGCUUACUGGGUCUUUUCUGACGCUGAGGCACGAAAGCUAGGGGAGCAAAC
rnacentral:rRNA from 1 species